GAGCUGGCGUAAAAGACACCUUUUACGCCUGCCAAUCAGCCAAUCCUGGAGCGACACGUCAGCCAAAACAUUUAAACUCAAUACACCUUAUUACAUGUCAUUAUAACCCAAUUAAAACCCCAAAUGUUCCUCAAACACGUUCAAAGCUUCUUCUUCAAACGGCAAACCAAGGGCAGAUUCUCCUCCUCCUCCCCACAACGGAGCUUCAUUCCGAGACAGUGAUCACCGGAGUUAUUUUUAGAGCCUGAAAAAGAUGCUGAAUCCGCCGUUAGUCUAAUGUCACAAUCUCAAGAAUUGCAGAUAGAUGGUUUUGAAUACUUAAAAGAAAACUUCCCUACUGGCUUGACUGAAUUCUUGGAGUAUAUGGCUAGAGUUGGUG